AGGGUGCCAUGCAUUCAUGAGGAAGUCACAGUACGAAAACUGUCACAUUUUAUUUUUUAUUUUUACGUUUAUCGGCCUCCUAGCAAUUUAAACAAUUUCGAGAAAAUAAAUCAAGUCAGGCUUCUGGUGCCAAAAUAAACUAACAAGAAACUACAUAUUUGGAAUUAAGCAGCUGAAGCCUCUAAACUGUAGUUAAGCAUGUGACCUUACUCUCUCUGGCCUGUUUAAUGAGAAUUUAUUGUACUUGCCCUCAAUCCCUUGCCCGAUCUACAGGUGGACAUCCGACCACCGGCGUCUGGCGGUAAGGAAUAUCAUCUUUUUACAAUUCAGCGUGGCUUAAAAAAUUUAAAAAAGUACCCUAAUUAUGUUAUCUUUGUAACCUUCGAACUAUCAAAUAUAUAUCAGUAUACAUAUCAAAAGCGGAUAAAUUA